CUCCAAGGCUAAAUACUCCUGACUGACCGAUAGUGAACCAGUACCGUGAGGGAAAGGCGAAAAGAACCCCGGCGAGGGGAGUGAAAAAGAACCUGAAACCGUGUACGUACAAGCAGUGGGAGCACGCUUAGGCGUGUGACUGCGUACCUUUUGUAUAAUGGGUCAGCGACUUAUAUUCUGUAGCAAGGUUAACCGAAUAGGGGAGCCGAAGGGAAACCGAGUCUUAACUGGGCGUUAAGUUGCAGGGUAUAGACCCGAAACCCGGUGAUCUAGCCAUGGGCAGGUUGAAGGUUGGGUAACACUAACUGGAGGACCGAACCGACUAAUGUUGAAAAAUUAGCGGAUGACUUGUGGCUGGGGGUGAAAGGCCAAUCAAACCGGGAGAUAGCUGGUUCUCCCCGAAAGCUAUUUAGGUAGCGCCUCGUGAAUUCAUCUCCGGGGGUAGAGCACUGUUUCGGCAAGGGGGUCAUCCCGACUUACCAACCCGAUGCAAACUGCGAAUACCGGAGAAUGUUAUCACGGGAGACACACGGCGGGUGCUAACGUCCGUCGUGAAGAGGGAAACAACCCAGACCGCCAGCUAAGGUCCCAAAGUCAUGGUUAAGUGGGAAACGAUGUGGGAAGGCCCAGACAGCCAGGAUGUUGGCUUAGAAGCAGCCAUCAUUUAAAGAAAGCGUAAUAGCUCACUGGUCGAGUCGGCCUGCGCGGAAGAUGUAACGGGGCUAAACCAUGCACCGAAGCUGCGGCAGCGACGCUGAUGCGUUGUUGGGUAGGGGAGCGUUCUGUAAGCCUGUGAAGGUGUGCUGUGAGGCAUGCUGGAGGUAUCAGAAGUGCGAAUGCUGACAUAAGUAACGAUAAAGCGGGUGAAAAGCCCGCUCGCCGGAAGACCAAGGGUUCCUGUCCAACGUUAAUCGGGGCAGGGUGAGUCGACCCCUAAGGCGAGGCCGAAAGGCGUAGUCGAUGGGAAACAGGUUAAUAU
rnacentral:rRNA from 1 species